rnacentral:rRNA from 1 species
CCUACGGGGGGCAGCAGUCGAGAAUCAUUCACAAUGGGGGAAACCCUGAUGGUGCGACGCCGCGUGGGGGAAUGAAGGUCUUCGGAUUGUAAACCCCUGUCAUGUGGGAGCAAAUUAAAAAGAUAGUACCACAAGAGGAAGAGACGGCUAACUCUGUUCCAGCAGCCGCGGUAAUACAGAGGUCUCAAGCGUUGUUCGGAAUCACUGGGCGUAAAGCGUGCGUAGGCUGUUUCGUAAGUCGUGUGUGAAAGGCGCGGGCUCAACCCGCGGACGGCACAUGAUACUGCGAGACUAGAGUAAGGGAGGGGGAACCGGAAUUCUCGGUGUAGCAGUGAAAUGCGUAGAUAUCGAGAGGAACACUCGUGGCGAAGGCGGGUUCCUGGACAUUAACUGACGCUGAGGCACGAAGGCCAGGGGAGCGAAAGGGAUUAGAUACCCCAGUAGUC